rnacentral:rRNA from 1 species
CCCCUAGAUGUUCUGGGCCGCACGCGCGCUACACUGAACAGUUCAACAAGUCUUAACCUUGGCCGAUAGGUCUGGGUAAUCUUUGAACGCUGUUCGUGAUUGGGAUAGACCUUUGCAAUUAUGGGUCUUCAACGAGGAAUUCCUAGUAAACGCAAGUCAUCAGCUUGCAUUGAUUACGUCCCUGCCCUUUGUACACACCGCCCGUCGCACCUACCGAUUGAAUGGUCCGGUGAAAUCUUCGGAUCUGAGAGAUGUUGGAUUAAUUUCUGACGCCUUUUGGAAAAGUCGCUUAAACCUUAUCAUUUAGAGGAAGGUGAAGUCGUAACA